CGCGGCGAGUCCGGCGCGGAAUCGAGCUCCCCAUACCUGUCAGGGCCCAGCCAAGCUCUGAGAGGGCGCCUGCGCACUAACCGCCCCGCCGCCUUUUCCCGCCUAUCAAGAGGACUUGGACCCGGCAGAACACUAGCGCAAUGCCCCUAACGAACGUCGCUGGCCAGGUGGAACAAAUGUUGUGUGAGGCGGAAGCGGCGGGCGCGGCGGGCGCGGCGGGCGCUGGGUUUUGACGCCGGUGCUUUCUGCGGGAUCCCUGUGGUGGGAGAGGGAGCCAUCCACUGCACCGCGAGGGAAGGCUUCCUUUAGAGGGCCUUGUGCUGCACUUGGAGUCGCUGCUCAGCCUCUUCUUCAGGCUUACACCGCCCCCUGCGCUGACUGCCGUGCUCCCCCUCGCUCAGGGCCCUUCAGCCACGCGCGUCCUUCCCUCCCGGAAGCACAUCGGGCUCCUUCCAGCCUCAGCACCGUCGCAUUUGUUGAUCCCUCUUCCUGGGACUGUGUCCUGUGUCUCACCCAGGUUGGAGCCCCGCCCUCACUCCUCCUCGGAUUCGCCUAAAGGAGAAGGGCCUCCAGCCUGUGGGCCACGUCUGCCUGUGAGCCAAGAAGGAUUUUACAUUUCUGACAGUUGGAAAAAAAUCAAAAGAGGACUAUCUCAGGGCAUGUGGCAAUUGUAUGAAACUGAAAUUGCAGUGUCCAUAAAUAGAGUUUUAUUGGAAAACAGCCACACUCGCUCAUUUAUGUUGUGUCUAUGGCUGCCUCCCAGCUGCAACACAGAACUGAGUCUUUUCAACAGACACUGUGUGGCUAACAGAACUUAAAAUGCUUGCGAUUUAGGUCUUUAUAGAGGCCUGCCAACCUGUAAUGUAGGACUUGUGUACCUACCUUGUCGUCCUGCGUGUGUCUGUACAACCAGUGGUGUGUGUAGAUAUUUAACAAGCGCUUCUCUGGGGGAAACAUGCGUGUCAGUGUGUGGUGUGUGUGUGUGUCUAUAUAUGUAUAAUUUAUUGUAAACUUUACUGAUGUUUUCCUGUUACUUUCUGAAAUCUUGAAGACAAUUAAUAAAACAAUUAAUUGAA